GGGGAUGUCGGGUUUCGACAGACGAACAGAUUGUUGAAUUGCAGGCCGAGGUGUCGGUAUGCACUCUCGUUAAACAACCGACAAAACAAUAGAUGCCAACAAACAGGCACCUG
rnacentral:tmRNA from 1 species